AAUUCGAUUAACGCGAAGAACCUUACCCGGGCUUGAACUGCAGCGGAAGGAUACAGAGAUGUUGACGUCCUUCGGGACCGCUGUGGAGGUGCUGCAUGGUUGUCGUCAGCUCGUGCCGUGAGGUGUCGGCUUAAGUGCCAUAACGAGCGCAACCCUUUUCAUCAGUUGCCAUCAGGUGAUGCUGGGCACUCUGGUGAUACUGCCACCGUAAGGUGUGAGGAAGGUGGGGAUGACGUCAAAUCAGCACGGCCCUUACGUCCGGGGCUACACACGUGUUACAAUGGGGUAUACAGAAGGCGGGAUCACGGCAACGUGGUUCAAAUCUUUAAAGUGCUCCUCAGUUCGGAUUGGGGUCUGCAACCCGACCCCAUGAAGCUGGAUUCGCUAGUAAUCGCGCAUCAGCCAUGGCGCGGUGAAUACGUUCCCGGGUCUUGUACACACCG
rnacentral:rRNA from 1 species